AGUGAACGCUGGCGGUAGGCCUAACACAUGCAAGUCGAACGGCAGCACAGUAAGAGCUUGCUCUUACGGGUGGCGAGUGGCGGACGGGUGAGGAAUACAUCGGAAUCUACUUUUUCGUGGGGGAUAACGUGGGGAAACUUACGCUAAUACCGCAUACGACCUACGGGUGAAAGCAGGGGAUCUUCGGACCUUGCGCGAUUGAAUGAGCCGAUGUCGGAUUAGCUAGUUGGCGGGGUAAAGGCCCACCAAGGCGACGAUCCGUAGCUGGUCUGAGAGGAUGAUCAGCCACACUGGAACUGAGACACGGUCCAGACUCCUACGGUAGGCAGCAGCGGGGAAUAUUGGACAAUGGGCGCAAGCCUGAUCCAGCCAUACCGCGUGGGUGAAGAAGGCCUUCGGGUUGUAAAGCCCUUUUGUUGGGAAAGAAAAGCAGCAGGUUAAUACCCCGCUGUUCUGACGGUACCCAAAGAAUAAGCACCGGCUAACUUCGUG
rnacentral:rRNA from 1 species